rnacentral:rRNA from 1 species
GGACUACCGGGGUAUCUAAUCCUGUUUGCUCCCCACGCUGUCGCGCAUCAGCGUCACACAGACCCCAGCUCGCCGCCUUCGCCACCGGUGUUCUUCCGGAUCUCUACGCAUUCCACCGCUACACCCGGAAUUCCACGAGCCUCUAGUCUGGUCCAGCUCCGCAGUCCGUUCGGCUGACCCGGGGUUAAGCCCCGGGCUUUCACCGCCCGCUUGCACGAGCCGCCUACGCGCCCUUUACGCCCAGUGAUUCCGGACAACGCUCGCACCCUCCGUAUUACCGCGGCUGCUGGCAC